rnacentral:rRNA from 1 species
UUACCUACGGGAGGCAGCAGUGAGGAAUAUUGGUCAAUGGACGAGAGUCUGAACCAGCCAAGUAGCGUGAAGGAUGACUGCCCUAUGGGUUGUAAACUUCUUUUAUAAAGGAAUAAAACGAGGCACGUGUGCCUUUUUGCAUGUACUUUAUGAAUAAGGAUCGGCUAACUCCGUGCCAGCAGCCGCGGUAAUACGGAGGAUCCGAGCGUUAUCCGGAUUUAUUGGGUUUAAAGGGUGCGUAGGCGGAAUGCCAAGUCAGCGGUAAAAUCGCGGGGCUCAACCUCGCUCCGCCGUUGAAACUGGCG